CUAAGAAUAUUCCGCAAUGGGGGGAACCCUGACGGAGCGACGCCGCGUGGGCGAGGAAGGCCGGAAGGUUGUAAAGCCCUUUUGCGCGCGAGGAAUAAGGGGAGGAGGGAAUGCCUUCCCGGUGACUGUAGCGCGCGAAUAAGCGCCGGCUAAUUACGUGCCAGCAGCCGCGGUAACACGUAAGGCGCGAGCGUUGUUCGGAAUCAUUGGGCGUAAAGGGCGUGUAGGCGGCCCUGCAAGCCUGGCGUGAAAUCCCGGGGCCCAACCCCGGAACCGCGCUGGGAACUGCUGGGCUUGAGCCGCUGUGGCGCAGCCGGAAUUCCAGGUGUAGGGGUGAAAUCUGUAGAUAUCUGGAAGAACACCGAUGGCGAAGGCAGGCUGCGAGCGGACGGCUGACGCUGAGGCGCGAAGGCGCGGGGAGCGAACAGG
rnacentral:rRNA from 1 species